AACUGGUUGUUAAAUUACUUGAAUCCCACCACUGGUCUCAUCUCUAUGUUCCCAUGUAGUCGUCUGUGCUGAGCAAUUGAACUGAUAUACUUCCAACUUAUCUACGGUUAGUAUAAAUAAGUCAGAAGGUUCAAAUAAGGCAGCACAUGUUUUUGCCAAGCAACCUGGUCUUCAACAAGGUGAUUUCUUAUUGGUGGAAGGUAAUCUGCUGUCCACAUCAUCAGCAAGCACACCUGGUAGUGCAUCUUAACAGAUCAUUCAGGAGAGCACCCCAUGCCUUUAUCGACCAGUAGCAGAGAGCAGACUCCCUUCCUUUAAGCAUGAAGUCAGGCAGGUGCACUGUGCAGUGAAGAGACUGUUGCCAAAACUGCAACCAUCAUUUUCCAAGAGUGAGAAAGAAAGUUGGCAGAUACUGAAGUCCAACACAUCUAGAAAGCACCAUGUUGCACAAACCUGGACUUUUACAAUGGUGCAAUGAAGAGUCUCAUCCAACAUCCAAUCUGGAUAUGCAUUCGUAUUUACUUGGAUUGAUGAUUGCGGCAAUGUAACCCUUUUUAAUAGGUUCUUCUCUACUAUAUAAGAAUUGGAUCUACCUUCUCUUAUUCAUUGAUGGAGAUCACAUUUUAUUACUGGGGCAGUGGGAAAAGAAAAAGACAAGCCGUGCUUUUGUAUUAGUGCUGUUAUCCUAGUGGCUGAUAGUUUGCACUAUCACUGGCAAAGUAAAGCAAUAAGUAUCUAGGAA